CCUCUCUCUCUCGCUCUGUCGUUCCAUCCCUCCCUCUCUGUGUUUACCCCCCCCCUCCUCUUGCUCUCCCUCCUCCUCCUCCGCUAGUUGCCAGUAGUACCUUGUUGCAGUAGAUCAGCCCUAACUAGGCAGCACUCGGCCCCAGGCAGGCAGAAAGGGCAGAUCACGCCACAGAGCUGCUGGAGGAGGAAGAGACGCACAAAACAGGAAAAGGAUCAGCCACCAAAAAGGAGAAGACAACAAAAAUAACGGCUCUCAAAAGAGCAAAGGAGGACCUGACGAAAGACAACUAAACUAUCGGCUGCCUUUGGUUUUGAUUUGUGUUUGAACAUCCACCCAAGGAGGGCAUCGCGUAGGUGAGCAUGGCCAGCUGUGGCUGCUGUUUCUGGGGCAUUGUGUGGCUGAUUGUGCUGCUGGUGAUUGGCUGGCCGCUGAGCAUCUUCCUGGGGGGCCUGUACGGCUUCAUCGCCCCGCUGACGGCCUGCGUGGGGCUGGACCGGCUGGCCGAACUGCUGAUGGAGGGGGCCAACCUGGGCCGCACCUGCGCCCAAAACAUGCGGCAUGGGAAACCACUGUGCUGAGGCCCACCUGUAGGCUAGUGCACACCUGUAGGCUAGUGCACACCUGUGAUGAAGCUAACCUGACCCCACACACACACAGAUACCCAUGCAGAUAUACACUUCAAGAAUAGAUCGUCAAACUAAUCAUUCUAAUGUUACAUUUAUUUAGAUUAGAUUACAUGUUUAACUUAACUUUAGGUCCUGGUCCUCAAAACACAAUGCUUUGUAACAUACAAACGAGCAGUCAGUAUCACCCAUUGUGACAUGUCAGCAUUUUAUGUGUACAAAUAUUAUAGUGAAACAGUAUAGUAAAAGGUCAAUGCAUCUUACUUGAUGUUAACACCAUUCAGAUCCACCAAAGUGCCUGUGCUGUUCCAGAGUUCCUCUUGUGGUGCACUAUACGUGCUUUAGUGGAUAAUACCGUGUGCUUUGUAUGCUAAAUGUGACAACAUUUGGCAAGUGUGUACAAUGGUGCUGUAUGUUUCUGUUUCUUUUCAAAACGAAAGUCUUGUAUGUGUGAUAUGGACCUCAUUACCUGAAGUGCCUGUAUUUGUGAUAUUGAAUGCUGUUUUGGAGUUGAUACAGACUUCGCUAGUUCUCCCUGGGACCAAUUUGUAUUUUGAUGAAACUGAUAUAUUGAAGUAUUGAGUCAAUGAAGUAAAACCAAUUCUGCCUUAAUAUUAAAAGGAGUUGUUCAUGUUUUUUUAUUUCAUGGCAACCAAACAGAAACACCCAGAAUUUGUGUCUGGUUUUAUCUUCUUUCUCUCUUUCUCUCUCUCUCUAUCUCUCUCCCUGUCUGUGAAAAAUAUGAAGAAAGGAAACUUCUGAUCCAGUUCCAUUUCAAAAGAGAUCUCCCUGGAACAGAGGAGUGAGCUCAUGCUGGUGAAAAAUGUCACUCAGACAAAAAAAUAAAAAGUUUCUCUCUUU